rnacentral:rRNA from 1 species
UACGUAGGCAGCAAGCGUUGUUCGGAGUUACUGGGCGUAAAGGGUGCGUAGGCGGCUUUUUAAGUUUGGUGUGAAAUCUCCCGGCUCAACUGGGAGGGUGCGCCGAAUACUGAGAGGCUAGAGUGUGGGAGAGGAAAGUGGAAUUCCUGGUGUAGCGGUGAAAUGCGUAGAUAUCAGGAGGAACACCGGUGGUGUAAACGGCUUUCUGGACCAUAACUGACGCUGAUGCACGAAAGCUGGGGGAGCAAACAGG